AUGCGGGUGAUUGCAUAUGGCGUUCCGGCUAACUAUGCCGCUGAGUACCUUCGCAUUGGUGAAGAUACCACAAUUGAGUCAGUGCGUAGAUUUUCCAAAGUGGUCAUUCGUGUCUUUGGUCCUGAAUAUCUUCACGCACCCAACGAGGAUGACACAAAGAAACUGAUGGCAUCUAAUGAGAGGAGAGGGAUUGUAUUGUGA
rnacentral:rRNA from 1 species